GCUGCAGUCGAGGAUCUUCGUCAAUGGGGGCAACCCUGAACGAGCGAUGCCGCGUGCGUGAUGAAGGCCUUCGGGUUGUAAAGCGCGAAAGUGGGGAGAAAGGCCGCAAGGCGUGAUCUAUCCACAGUAAGCUCGGGCUAAGCUCGUGCCAGCAGCCGCGGUAAGACGAACCGAGCGAACGUUGUUCGGAAUAACUGGGCUUAAAGGGCGCGUAGGCGGGCUGUCAAGUCUGGGGUGAAAUCCCGCGGCUCAACCGUGGAACUGCCUCAGAUACUGACGGCCUCGAGGGAGGUAGGGGCGAGCGGAACGAAUGGUGGAGCGGUGAAAUGCGUUGAUAUCAUUCGGAACUCCGGUGGCGAAGGCGGCUCGCUGGACCUCUUCUGACGCUGAGGCGCGAAAGCUAGGGGAGCAAACGGGAUUAGAUACCCCGGUAGUCCUAGCCCUAAACGUUGGGUACUAGAUAGUAGACUAGACAUGGGUUACUGUCGAGC
rnacentral:rRNA from 1 species